GAGACACUGGUGGUGUGUGUGUGGAUGGCGGUGAUGGAAGAUUUGGGGACCUUGCUUUUAAAUUUCUGCAAGUUAAAUUAUUUAGGUUUCUUCUUAAAUAACUAGGAGAAUUAAUAAAAAAAUUCAGAUUCUUUAUGCUCUCCCUGUUUUACUGUUUUGAAGUUGAUUAAUUAUGUUGAUUCU